CCAGGCUGGUCUUGAACUCCUGAUCUCAAGUGAUCUGCCCACCUUGUCUUCCCAAAGUGCUGGGAUUACAGGUGUGAGCCACCGUACCCGGCCACUGGGAACUUUUGAUCUGUCUUUUCUAAACAACUUUAUGAGGUAAAAUUUAUAAACCAUACAAUUCACCUAUUGAAAGUAUAAAAAUUAGUGGUUUUUAGUAUGUUCACAGAGUUGUGCAACCUAAAUGUCUACUUUUGUGUUUAUUUAAUGCUCUUUUGUAGAGUAUUCUGUUACUAAGACUCUGAUUAACUUUCCUGUCUACAUGCCACAAUAUCUAUGCCCUCUUCCUUCCUAGAGUCCUUUUUCUUUUUUUCCUUUUCUGUCCUUUCUUUUUAGUUUCUCCAACUUAGUUAUUUUCCAUUUGUGAUUACACUUUUUUCUUUUUAUUAAUUUUAAGAAUUACCCAAAGUAAUAUAAAAAUACAUUUCCACUGUAAAAGAUUCAAAAACAAAAAUAUAUACAGAAAAAAUUUAAAGUUUCCUUUCCUGUGCCUUCCACUCCUUCUUUUCCUAAGGAAACCACUAUAAAUAGAUUGGUGUAUAUCCUUUAGGUCCCUUCCAUUUCAAGGAAUUUAUACACAAAUAUUUAUGUAUAUAUACACAUCUCUCUAUAUAUAUAUUUUUAAUGAGAUCCUACUACAUGUAUUGCUCUGCAAGUUACCUUUUUCUUUUUACACUAUGUAUUGGUCAUCUUCCCUUGUCAAUAUGUAUAGAUUUACUCCAACCUUUUGAAUUACUACCUAGUAUUAUUAAGCUACCUUUUGAUAACUGUUGAUAAUUUUUAUUGUUGUCUUGUGGUGGUGGUGGUGGUGAUGAAGAUGGUAUUUACAGAAGUGUGUGGAAGGUAAAGGAAAGGGAAAGGAGAAAUAUAAUAAUGGGACAGUCUUGCAAACUCUCUAGGACAGAGAGAACUCUGAAGGCACUAUGCUAGGCAGACAAUCUAAUGGAAUCACACAACAUAGAUGUAAAACAGCAAAGCAUGUCAAGGCAGGGUGUACAUAAGAUGUUAAAUGAAUUGUAGAGAUGCAGGGGACAGUUCUGUAGGCAGGAAAAAGGACUUAAUGAAAGGGUUGGCAUUGAGACUAGACAAGUUGUAUGAUAGUACAGUAAGUACGAAAAUCUGAAGGAGGCAGAAAACAAGAACUUCAAGUCAGGACUUUAAUAUUAGGAUAAUGAUAUUAAACUUUAUCUCAGAGAAUCCUACAAAGAUUUUGAGUAGGGGAAAAUGUGAUAAACUGGAAGUUCAGAAACAUUAAUAUGAUAGAUUUACAGGGGAACGGAGUGCAGACAGAAAGACCACUUAAAAGACGGCUAUAAUAGUCAACACUUAAAAUGAUGAAAGGCUGAACUAAGAAGUGGUAGAAAAUAGAAAGGAGAGGCCCGGCAUGGUGGCUCACGCUUGUAAUCCCAGAACUUUGGGAGGCCAAGGCGAGUGGACCAUUUGAGGUCAGGAGUUCAAGACCGGCCUGGCCAAUAUGGCGAAACCCCGUCUCUACUAAAAAUACGAAAAUUAGCUGGGCAUGGUGGUGCAUGCCUGUAAUCCCAGCUUCUUGGGAGGCUGAGGCAUGAGAAUCACUUGAACCAGGAGGUGGAGGUUGCUGUGAGCUGAGAUCGUGCCACUGCACUCCAGCCUGGGCAACAGAGCAAGACUCUGUCAAAAAAAAAAAAAAAAGAAAGAAAGAAAAAGAAAAGAAAAUAGAAAGGAGAGGGUAGACAACCAAGAUGUUAGAACUGGCCAGUAUUUAUGUACUGUAGAUUUUCCAACCAGAAUAGGCCUGAAGAUUCUGAAUAUUCAAAAUAGUGUUACCUGCCAAAUGAUUGGGUUUAGCACUGUCGUUUUGUAAAUUCAGUGGAAUAGGCCAAAAUCUUGGGUAAACCAGUAUUAAUUGCUUACUGCUCAAAAUAGCAGAAGCAGUAAAUCUACCUGCAAUAGGUAGUCCUAGCCUACCUGUAGGGAUUUACCAGGAAAACUGGUUUCAACUCUUUUUCCUUGGUAAAAGGUUUGGCUUUUGAAAUAACACACAUUUAUAGAUGAAGUUCUUAAUUAUCUUUCUGAUUGAAAGUGUCAAGCUCUUAUAGAUUAUUUUGAUUAUUUUUUACACAUUUACCAGUGUUUAUCAUGUGGCAGAUACUGUCCUAAAUGCUUUAUAAAUAUUACCUAAUUUAAUCCUUACAGCAACCUUAUGUGGCAGCACUUUUAUUAUUAUCCCCAUUUUACAGAGGAGGAACUGUAGCAGAGAAAUUAAGAGAUUUGCCCAAGAUAACGUGGUAAGUGGUGGAGCUAGGAUUCAAACCUAGACGGUAUGACUCCAGAAUUCAUGCUCUUGACUACUAUACUUCCCAUAUGGUAUUUAUUUCACUGCAUUUAUGGCAGAUAUUUUAUAUUUAUUGGUGCUAUUAAAUAUGCUGUUAAUUAAUGUUUCCCCUCGCUAAACCAUAAUCUCGCUAAGAGCAGAAAUUCUGUCUAGUUUUGUUGCCAUUGUAUUGCCAUACCUAGCACAGUGGCUCGCACUUAUUUAAUAAUCAAUAAAUAUUUGUCGAAUGAAUUGAUCAGUCUUUAUUGAUGAUUAUUACAUUUUUCAUUUGCCUGGAACUUACCACACCCUAAAGUAUUCUGGCUCUCCAUAUUUUCUGUUCAUAAGAAUAUGCAGAGCAGUUGAUUAUCUUCUGGGUCCUUUAGCCCUUUAGCUCUCCUGAGGGUAGCAGAGGACUCCCUGGUUUUCCUUUGGAUGGAAGUUUCCUGACUUUCUACUUCUGGAACCAGGGCCAGUGUCCUUGACAUGGGCUUCCUCCAGGAUGAAAUCGGACAACUGCCCAAUGACAGCAAGUAAAGAAAGUAUACUCGCCUAUAAUCCCAGCACUUUGGGAGGCCAAGGCGGGUGGAUCACGAGGUCAGCUGGAGAACAUACUGGCUAACGCAGUGGAACCCCGUCUCUACU
rnacentral:lncRNA from 1 species